UGAAUCCAUUAGCAACUCCUUCCGUUGCCAAAAGAAACAGACUUGCACUUGUAGAUUGCUUUCAUUCUGCGCUAUCAAGCCGCUGCAUGUGCUGCUUCCACAAAGCUGACAGUCAUCUAUCAUUUCUAAAUGGGUUUAGAGCUUGUCAUGUACAAUAACUGGAUGGGGUUCAAGAUUUAGUCACUGAACACGAACAGAAAGUUAUGGAAACAGCUUUACAUGAAAAUGCAGGUCAGAAUCAACUCACUGAAUUUUCUCGAACAGAGAUGGCAAACAUGGCUAUACACACUCAUGCUCUUUACAGAAAGUGGACAUAAACUAAUUGAUCACAAAUGUUUUUCUCCGAGAGUUUGGACAUGGUCUCAGAACUCUCUUCAACCGAGGACAUUAGGUAGACAUUAAAUGGAGCACUUUGGUGAAACUU